CAGUGAUUCUGUUUUUGCAACUUCUGAGCUAUUAUUAACUGGUGAACAGCUGCCCACAUUCCCAGUUGGAGCCUGAUUAGCAUUUGAAGCAGGAGCAUUAUACCUGCAUGUGAAGAGAUUCAAUUAGCAACUGUAGUUUCUUCAGGAUAUUGAGUUUUAGUAACAGUUGAAUCACAUGCCUAGAGAAUGCUGAAAGGUCUGAAUGCCUGAGUAUAUUGCGCUCUUGCACACUGGUCCCAAUUUCUCCAACAUCUCGAAGCUGCUUCAAACUAAGUUCAAGAGAAGGCAUGCCUUUACUGUCAUAGGUGGCUAU
rnacentral:lncRNA from 1 species